UAGGGGGAUCAGCCCCAUCCUGUUGCCUCACUUCCACAAGUGGUCACCGACCCAGGAGCAGGAAGCUUGCCUCUCCCUUGGUUCAUGCCGUGAAGCGCCGAUCUGAUGCUGUUAUGGCCGAUUUGGGAGGGUAGCUGGGAUCCACUGCUGUUUUGCAGAGCCCCUGUUUUGUGGAGCCCUUGUUUUGCCUAGUUCCGUUUCCUGAACUACCGUUUGGCUGUACUGCAGUCAUUGGUGUCUGGUGACACUGCUUGGCUUUGCCCAUCUGCCUGCCUGUAAGCCGUCUCGCCUGCCUGCCUGCCUGCCUUGUACGUGCCUCGGGUUGGAGCCCUGCUUGUAAACCCAGCUGUGGGUCCAGCGUGGGCACUUCAGCUGUUGGGUCGCUGAGGCAGGCUGACCGAUUCGUGGGACCGCUGCAUGCGGCUGCUCUUCUUCUGCGGCAACCCGUCGAGCUGGGACUAUUUUACCGCCUUUUCUGGAUUUGGACUGAAUGGACUCUGGGGGUUUGGGAUUUGAGUAUUUUGUGUUACUGCCAUUAGUAUUGUUUUCUUUUUCAUUUGCUGACUUGAUUUACCAUUUGAAUAAGUUAUUUAAGUUGCUUAUUUUUGAUUUUAGUUAUAGUGUGUUUUUCAGUUCUAUUAACUGUUUGUUUGUUUCUCUUUCUUUCAGUGGCUGAGAGCCUGGUGGUGGCACUGGUGACCUGGGUGGUGGUUCCCUCCUUCUUUGUAUGCUGUGUGCCCCAUUUGAGUUUUCCAUGAGUGUGUGUGUGUAGGUUCUUCACGUGUGAUUGGGGUGUUUUCAAUCUGAUUUUUCUCACUGGGAUCCCUCCCCUCAACCCAUCGCACCUGGUGAGCCUCAGCCACAUCCAUUCUACCCCCCCCCCCAAUUUAUGAAUGGAUGCUUUUUGUUUGUCUAAUCAUUUUAAAGAAUCAUGUUAAGA